CAUUAUGGGGGCAGUGCAGUGGGGAGUAUUGGGGGACAGUGUGAUGGGGGGCAGUGCUGACCCCACUUACAUGGGGCUGGAGCCAGCCCAGAGGGACCCCCCCACACACACAAAAGAGGCCUGAUACAGCCCCAAAGCAGCCCUGCCCUGGUCCUGACCCCCACACACACCUUGCAGGCCCCCCCCCCCCCCCCCCCCCCCAAGAUGGCCUGUGAGCUCUUCCUCCUCUCCUCCGUCUGGUUCCUCUUUGUCAUCUUCUGGAUGGAGACCAUCAGCGUGUGGCUCUUCCUGUGCAACUUCUACCAGGACCAGGCAUUUUACCACUGGGGCGAGCGGGUGCUCCUCGCCGAUCCUGGACACGCGCUCUACGUCUUCGCCAGCUGAGCCGUUGCCGCCCGGCGCGGCCUCCCCCCGACAGACCGAGGACCGGCAGCCGGAGGCAGCGAGGCCCCAAGGGUCCCGGGGCAGCUGCGAGCCCAUGGUGCCCGGCUGCCCCAGCGCAGCCCAGGACGAGCGGGGCAGCCUCUGCCACCCCGAGCCCAGCGCGAGGACGCCCGCGGGAGCCUGGAGACCUGAGCGUUGGGACUAAGGGCCUGAUCCAGGCAGCAGCAGGGCAGGGGAGAACCUGAGCAAAUAGAGCGCUUCACGUGCAUGCACUGGUGCCUCUCGCUCCCCCAGGGCUGGGGGUUACAUUUGGGUUCCCCCGGCCACGCAGCUCCUGGCAGCCCAAGGAAGCCAAACCUGCUGAGGAAGGUGGUUCACAUCUCCCUUUAUUCAGAGAAAUUCCUCUAAUGUGUAAAAAAAAAAAAAAAAAAAAAUUAAAAA